CCUACGGGUGGCUGCAGUAGGGAAUUUUCGUCAAUGGGCGCAAGCCUGAACGAGCAAUGCCGCGUGAACGAGGAAGGUCUUCGGAUCGUAAAGUUCUGUUGAAGGGGAAAAAGAGCGGAGAGAGGAAAUGGUCUCCGAUUGAUAUUACCCUUCGAGGAAGCCACGGCUAACUACGUGCCAGCAGCCGCGGUAAUACGUAGGUGGCAAGCGUUGUCCGGAUUUACUGGGUGUAAAGGGCGUGUAGCCGGGUUGACAAGUCAGAUGUGAAAUCCUGCGGCUUAACCGCAGAACUGCAUUUGAAACUGUUGAUCUUGAGUACUGGAGAGGCAGACGGAAUUCCUAGUGUAGCGGUGAAAUGCGUAGAUAUUAGGAGGAACACCAGUGGCGAAGGCGGUCUGCUGGACAGCAACUGACGGUGAGGCGCGAAAGCGUGGGGAGCAAACAGGAUUAGAUACCCUAGUAGUC
rnacentral:rRNA from 1 species